AUGUUUUCCUUAACCUAGCUAGCGCGACUGGGCGAAGAUAAAACAGUUUUUGCAAGAUGGACCGAACGGAACUUUUGUCCACACAAACGUUAUUGUUGAGCAUUGACUGACAUAUCCCAUGUGCUGCACAUGCUUGAAGGAACAUGCAUCUUUCAAUGUUUAUUAUCUCUUGUGAAAAUUCUAGAAAUUUCGCUCUCUUUCAUUUUCUCUUUUCAGUUUGAAGACUGUUUUUCCCGAUUUUCUUUCUUGUCGUGUGCAUUUAUGUCUCUGCCACGAUUUUUUUUCUAACAGCAAACCUCUCUUUAUGUCAAAAAUACCAUGUUACCUUGUCCAAAAACUGAAAACCCCUACCGAUGAGUUCAUUUCUUGACGCA